AUACAGAAAUUCAAUUAAAUAGCCGUGAAUUUGCAUCAAAACUCUUUCUUGCGCUAGUAGCAGAUACCGGAAGUAUUCAGCAUACGUUAUAUGUCGUAUCAUUUAUUUACGCGGUACCAGUACCGAUAUUAAGAGCCCGCAGAAAAAAAACCCGGAAAGGUACGGUUAUCCAGCAUUUAGCAAACUUUGCAAUCGUCUUAUUUAUUAAGAUCACGGUAUCGGCUGCAAAAAUGGACGACUCCUUUGACCUUGUUAAAAAUACGAAAGGAAAAAGUGCUGUUUGGCAGCAUUUUUCCUUAAAAAGGAAACGAGAAUCAAAUGAAAUAAUUGAAAACAUUGGUGUAUGCUGCCAUUGUAAAAUGGACGUGAAAUGUGGGGGUGGCACCACUAAUUUACAGACACACUUAGAGAGACACCACAAAAUCAUGAAACCGACUUCUUCUUAAGGUCAGAUAUUAUCAAACAUUUCUAAACAGCCAACUGUUAUGAAAAUGUUUAAGAAAGCUGAGCAGUACAAGCCUUCAUCCCAGAGAGCUAUGGCUAUCACAAAUAAAAUAAACUCAUUUAUUAUCAAAGAUUUACGGCCAUUCAGUGUAGUUGAAGACGUAGGGUUCAAAGAACUGGUGCAGGCUCUACAUCCAAAAUAUUGUCUUCCAAGCAGGCCCUAUUUUUCACAGACACAUGUCCCUGCAAUAUAUGAAAAGGUUAAAUCUGAUGUUAAAUCGAAUUUGUUACAAGCCUCCAUGGUAGCUUUGACAACUGACGGUUGGACUAGCAGAGCAACUGAAUCAUAUGUCACUAUAACUUCAAGCCACAUUACAGAUGACUGGAUAAUAAAGAAUUAUGUCCUGCAAACUAGGGCCAUGCCAGUCAGUCACACUGGUGCUAACAAUGCAGCAGUCAUUAGGGAUGCUAUUGAAGAGUGGGGUUUGCCAUUAAACCCACCUUUAGUGACAGACAAUGCUUCAAAUAUGUGUGUUGCAGCAAGAGAACUUGAUUCCCGUCCACAUCUUGGAUGUUACGCUCAUACAUUGAACAUAGCUGUUCAAAAGGGUCUUAAGACAAAUAGUGUAUCACGUUUGUUGGGAAGAAUAAGACGCAUUGUUGCAUUCUUCCAUCGCAGUACAACAGCUGCAGCUUUACUUCACGAGAAAGCUCAACUCUUGAAUCUUAGAGAUGUAAAGUUAAUCCAAGAUGUUUGCACUAGAUGGAACUCGGCGGUUGAUAUGAUUGAAAGGUUCCUGGAACUACAGCCUGCAGUUUAUGCUGCUCUUAUGUGCAAGGACAUUAGAAAGCAUGCUACAGAUAUAUCUACACUUAGUGAAGACGACAUUACUUUAGCUGAAAGUAUCAUGUCAGUGCUUGUGCCAGUGAAAAAAGUGAGCACGGCUUUGUGCACUGAAACCCUGCCCACAGCAUCACUUAUUCUGCCGUUCCAGAAAUUGAUUCUUGAUAAAAUCCUCCAAGUGCAUGAUAGUGAUGCUCCUGCCAUAAGUCAAAUGAAAUCAACCAUGUCUGACGAUCUACGUCCGAGGUAUAUAAACAUACUUAAAACAACAAUAAGUUUAAAACAACUAUAAUUUAUAAAUAAUAACUAUGAUAAUAUUGCAGAUAAAUAAUAAAUCAAUAAUAUUGAUAAAUAAAUUGUAUAUUGCACAUACCCAGAUAUUGAGCAAUAAGCACUGUAUGAUAAUCAAAUUUAUAUUGCACAUGGAACAUAACAAAGACAAAAUCAAAUCACGGUUUCAUUAUACAUGUAUGAAAAUGGUUUUAUGGUAAGUCUAAAAUAUACAACACUUCAAUAUUUCAGGUAUAAUGAGCUGACGGAAUACUUGCAGGAAACCAGCCUACUUGAUCCUCGGUUCAAGGUAUCCUACCUAAACGAUGAAGAUGCUGUCGCUGUCUCAGGUCGAGUGGUUAUUGAGGCUGCCUCCAAAUGUGUGUCAAUUAAGUCUGAGCCUGUGGAACAGUCUAACAAGCAAGAACCUCAUCCGGCUGAGCCCACCUUACCAGGUCCAUCUCAGAUAGAGAAAGAUGACCAUGUUAAAACAGAAGUUACUACUACUUGUACUAGCCAGUCGUCUUCUUCAGAUCUUGCUUCGAUUUUAGAUGAUGUCAUUAUUGUUAAAGCUGUUAAAGGGGAAAAGUCAUUGGUUGACCAAGUAAAAGAAGAAAUUGACAAGUACAUGGGAAUAGACCUUUUAGAUUUGAACUCAGACCCACUUUCAUGGUGGAAAAAUAAUAAGUGGUUCUUUCCUCAUCUGGCUGCAUUAGCACAGAAACGUCUUUGUGUGCCAGCUACCAGUGUCCCUUCUGAAAGGGUAUUCAGCACUGCUGGCGACAUACUGUCUGCACAGAGGGCUGCGUUAAGUGCUGAAAAUGUGGACAUGUUGAUCUUCCUUAAGAAAAACAUGCCAUGAAAUGAUUAAUUGUGUCCAUGUGUGCCAAUUCAUGGGAGAUUUUCUGAAGGACUAGUUAACUGUUAAUGUGUUAUAGUUUCCAGUUUUACAGUUUCAGGACAUACAAUAUUCAAUAAUGAAUUGAAAUAAAGUUCCUAGAUUAUUUUCUAUUUAGUCCUUAUAUUUUUAUAAGUUUCUACUAAGAAUACAUAUAUACAUAUAAUAAUAAUAUACAAAGUCACACCAUCUUUUCAUCAAAAUACAUUG